GACGAACGCUGGCGGCGUGCUUAACACAUGCAAGUCGAACGGAAAGGCCCUGCUCUUGUGGGGUGCUCGUUUGGCGAACGGGUGAGUAACACGUGUGUAACCUGUACUUGUCUUUGGGAUAAAAUCAGGAAACUGGGGCUCAUAUAGGAUAGGAUAUCCUGAUGCAUGGUGGGCGUUGGAAAGUUUCGGCGGUUGGGGAUGGAUUCGCAGCUUAUCGGCUUGUUGGUGGGGUAGGGGAUUACCAAGGCUUUGAAGGGUAGGCGACAUGAGAGGGGGACCGGGGUCAAUGGUACUGAGGGACGGCCCAGUCGCGUACCGUAGGCAGCAGGCGAGAACAUGGCACAAUGGGCGGGAGCCUGAUGCGGCAGCGCCGCGUGCGUGAUGACGGCCUAUGGGGGAUAAACCGCUGUCUCCUGUGACGAAGCGGGAGUGACGGUAAUUGGUAAAGAAGCACCGGCUAACUACGUG
rnacentral:rRNA from 1 species